rnacentral:lncRNA from 1 species
CACACAUUAAGUGGUAAAAAUUAAAUGACUCAGAACCAACAGGCUGUAUGAUUUACAGUGCCUAAAGAACCUUAGCUUAGCAGCCUUCAAAGAGGGAAGCUGAGCAACUAAAACUGUCAUUGCAAGGCACCCACAAACAUGACUAGUGGCAACUACUCCGAAAAGGUUUCUCCAGGCUGUUUUCUUUGGGGUUUCCUCUUGACAUGAGGAAAGAGUCAGCAGUGUGGCAACAAGGGGAGCCUGCUGGCUUGCCAUGGGAAUGACUGUCAGCACAGGGUGUGUGGCAACCACAGCGGUCAGACCCUCUUCAGGCAGCUGCUCUAACCUCCUCAUUGCUGGAGGAGUGAUGGGCAAAACAGUCCCAAAAGCCUGGAAUUUCUGUUUUCCUUCACUAAGCCCCCAGCUGGUUGGCUCAUGCGUUUCUCAAUUACCAGCCAAAGAAAGGGAGAGGGAGAAAGCAAUCUUAUGGAAACAGAUGAAGUCAUGCCUAUAUAAUGUCGUAUUACGGCUCAUGCUUGUGGAGCCAUGAUACAGACAUUGCUGCCCCUAGUCCUGGCAGGGACACCCGGCUUCCCAAUCCUGCUCUUAGCCUUCAACUCAAUCCUUUCCCUCUUCAUGCCAAUGAUGCGUGGGGACAGCGGAGCACCUUCGCAUCUCAUCCCCCUUCUAUACCCCCGUUUGGAUCCCCCACCCUUCCGUCCACUCCCUGCCAUCCCCUGGGGUCUUUGAGUCAUUCACAGCAUGCCACUGAGUGAGUCAGGGGCGAGCCCACAGAUCAUGUGCGAGGCUCCGGCACCACGCGCUCUGCCUAUGGCUCUGCGAAUGCCGGCGAAGUUACACAAGGGAAAUCUAAAGGUAAUUAAAAGCAUAAUGCAAGGGGUUGUUUAGAAAGGGUGGUAGGGAGGAGAGAAUAAAAUUAAAAUAAAUAAAGGAGUGUUUUAACGAGUGCAGCAGUGAAAGCGGGAUUAGAGGGGCCUGAAUGGCAUCUCUAUUUCCCGUAUGGAAAGGAGUGCUGCCCGGUGCAACCAGAGCUGACAAAAAAAAUUAGCUGGGCCUCAGGCUCAGAGAAACAUUUGGCAAGAAAGGAAAGAAGGUAAUUGCUGCAAAUGGAGACUAAUUCAGGAAGCAGCCAGCCCUACACAGGGCCGGUUCUUUUGCAGCUAGUGCUGCGGAUGCUAUGUGAAGUCUGGGCUGAAAAAAACACGCUGAAAUCUUGGAGAAAGGGAAAAAAAAAAAGACAGAAAAUCAACAAGUCUCUCCUUCCCAUGGCUCAUACAUGUUCAGCAUUUUUUUC